UCCAAAACUAGCAGAUGCAAUGGUAGACAUCACCCUCCUCCUAUGUGGUACAGGUAUGUAGUGGAUUGGAAUCUCAAUGAUCAUAUCCAUGUUGCAACAUUGUAUGCUACCGAGCAGAGCAGUCGGCUCCCUGAAUCGGCCAUGCGUGCCGAACCCAGCAGUAGCAGCAGCUUGCAGACGCAUCGAUGAUGUCAGGAGCUGCAAUGAAAAGAGAUGAUAUCUACGAUUCUGGGUACACCCGAGAUCUCAAAACUUCUUUUCCUUUCUAGACAAAUGCUACUGAAUAUCGAUGGAUCUAAUUUGCUCUAACCGUCCAUGCUAUCUUCUACGGGAGGUAACUUAAGUUCCUCCAUUUUGUUUGUUGGAUUCCAUUCACUCUGCAUGGAUCUUAUUUACUAAUUUAGUAUCCUAUAUUUGGAAAAAUUACUUUGCAAAACCGAACAGAUUUCUUUUGACUGUAUCUCGCAAAUAGAUAUGUCCUGGAUCUUGGAAUAUUUGCAAAUUGUUUCUGUUUUACUGAUUGGGUUCUUAUGCACCAGUUUUUUCAGGUUAGCUAUCUUCCACCUGUUAACCCAGCGUCACCAAGACAUUUGUGUUCCAUGAAAUUGUACGAAGAUUUGAAUACUGCCUUGGUUACUUUUAGAAAGCUAUGUUUAUUGGUACCUAGCUCCAGGGUUGAAACUGUGUUUGUCACGAUCACAGCCGAGAGAGUAGCUGUUUGAUCUCUAACUUCAGUUUGUAUCUUCAUGCAAGAUGUUCCUUAGUAAUAUUCUCCUACUCAAUGGCCAUUUUUUGGUCAUCAACCUGUAAGCUACAAGAUCCCUAAAAAAACCUGUGAGCUACAAGGCCACCUCCAAAUCUCCAAUACUCUUUCAUUUAGUUGAUAGGGAAUUUAACCCUUUACAGCCAUUCUGGAUCCGUUAACUAAUACUCCAUUUUGUAUUCCAGGAAUACAAUACCCUUCAACAGGACUAUGGCUGGCGUGUUGGACAGAUCAUUGAACCACACAAACACAAUAUGUAGGCUACUGUUUACAAGUAUUGUAUUUUGAUAUCGGUGACUGAUGACAUCUCUUCAUUUACAUCACUAUAUUAUGAUGUAUAAAAAGGUAACUG